UGAGAGCCAGUUCCUACAGGCCUGCA
rnacentral:piRNA from 1 species